ACUUAAGCAGCUGACGCUUCAAUCGGAUUUUGGUUAAGGGAUCCUCUUAGUUAGGCUGGCGACUUAAAAACUAGCGCUGCAUGGGAGGCAACCCAUGUUUUUUUUUCUUGUUUUCCCUUGUUUUCAUUUUUCUUUCGUUUUGUUCGGGUUUGUGUUUUUGUUUUUUCUGUUGUUUGGUGCAGGUUGGUGCUGAAGGAAUAUUAAACUGAAUUAAUGCUCCGUUUGCCCGAUGAUUGUUUCUUUGAUUAUUAUUAAUUUAUCAUACAACGAUUAAUCCCUAACAUGCAUCUAUGAAUUUAAUUGCUGCACGUUGGAGUUCAGAAAUACCUGAAGAAUUCAGAAGAAUUCG
rnacentral:lncRNA from 1 species